GGGGAGGAAGUCCCUCCCCCCAUGCAACAGCGUAACAUAGCGGGACGCGCCGGCGGAGUUCUGGAACCAGGAAGUCCGAAAUGAAGGUGUCAGCAGGAUUAUGCUUCCUCUGAAACUCUGGGAUGAAUGAAAAUGAUAUCAGAGAAAACCUCAGACCGUCAUGAAUGAAUAAAGAGGACAAACAAAAACCAGAACAGUUCCAGUGGCUACCAGAGAAGAGGUGGAUGGAAGGAUGGGUGAAAUAGAUAAAUGCAAUUAAGAGUACUCACCUUGACGAGCCCUGAGAAAGGCACAGAAUCGUCAGAUCAUCAUGUUGUACGCCUGAAACUAAUAUAACAUUGUGGGAUGUCUGGAGAAGACAGGUCUCCACUGAUGACCGGCAGAAGGAACUGGCACCCCCCCCCCCCCCCCCCCGCGCAAACAGGCUGUUGUCCGCUGCUGGACACUGGUGCGGGGCCCACGUGGGCGUGUGCUGUGGCCAUGGGGAGAUCAUCCGCCUCGAAGGCCAUGCUCGUCAAACUCAAGAUCCACUUUACUCUGGCAGACCCAAAGCACCCAGAAGCAAACUAGCCUGCCAACUUGGUGUCAGUGGACCUGAACUUGACUGUGGAUAGGUGUGACCUCAGGCCAUCCUGAGUGGGCACGGCGGCUUCAGAAAUGGUCAUUAAACUAUGUUGCAAAGCUGGAUUCGGGGUUCACUGCCCCUUCUAUUCGGUGUCUAUUUCUCUACCCGAAGCCUGCUGUAGGCUC